rnacentral:lncRNA from 1 species
GAUGACAAAGACAAGUUGUAUAUUGCGUGCUUCCUUCGUUAUUACUUUCUCGUUAUUGUCCCUUUGCUUGCAAACUUCAUGUAACGGAGAACAUGAAAAAGCACUAAAUACACAAACAAGAGCACAUCUUAGCCAUCAAUUUCAUUUCUUAGAGACGAGGAAAAGGCUAUUGGAAGACAAUAAUAACCCAAUUCACAGUAGAAAGCUUGGAUCUUCAAUAAAAAAGAAAAAGAAGAAGAAAAAGAAGUACGGAAAAAAAUCAUCAGCGAACCAUAGGGGAAUGUCCAUAAACCACGCCAACUCAAUAUUUUGUAUUUCGCUUUUGGUUUCUUUCGUCCUCAUCAUCUAAGUUUACACACAGUGACACAAGGUCCUCCCUGCGCAUUGUGCAUUUUUUGGAUUCUGCAUCGCAAGUUUUUAUUUUAUUCUCGUGUUCGGUACAUUGUGCAUGUUUUGGAUUCUGCACAUAUUUGAGAGUUAUUUUAUACCAUCUUUGAAUUUUUUUUCCCAAUAUAUCCCUCUAUCAAAAAAUAUAUAUCAAUUUAUCCAUUUUUUGAUAUAGUAAAAGGUGAUCAUAUAUAAAAUAUAUAUAUAUAUAUAUAUAUAUAUAUAUAUAUUAUAGGAAAUCCACUGUUACAUAACGACUUAAUUUUGUGUAGUUUUUAUUUUAAUUAAUUUUUUUUUAACUAUAAAAGUCACCAUUUGAAAAAGAAACUUCAUACAUCCAUAUAAUUAUAUAAUUCAUUCAAAUUCAUUUAUAAAAAAUAACAAUAAAUAUUUUAUAAAAAUUACAUAAAUUAAUUAAAGUUUUUCAUUACAUUAGACAACCACCUAAACUACUUAAAAAAUCAAGACUCCACUAGUGACUCACAAUCACUAAAAUCAAGCCUUCACUAGUGACUCACAAUCACUAAUUUACUUUAUAGAUAAUUAAAAUUCGUCACACUUUAAAAACAUCCCUCUCGGGUUUUGGAAUCACUGGGAAUUUAUCCCAACCCUUAUUUACAUAUUUUCACAAACAAAAAGUGAUAAGCAGGGACUUGAUUGCGUACAGAGGGCUUUAUUUUUUCAUAUGUACUAUUAUAGUUCCUUUUGAACUUAUGUUGUAUUUUGCUUGUACCUUUAUGUUACAAAUUAACAUUGUAAUAUAUAUAUUAUUCUAUGACUUCACGAGUAAAU